AUCCAUCUGACGAGUUUCAAAUGGGACGAAACAUGCGUCCUGGAU
rfam:Schistosoma haematobium scaffold75_4, whole genome shotgun sequence.